rnacentral:lncRNA from 1 species
CCCAUACGAACUCCACACAGGACUAGUAUGCAUCAGCCAAGUGUGUGCACCCCUCUCCUCUCUAACUCCAGUGUGACCAGCAUUAGAUAGUGAGUCUAAG